GUGCUUGCUUCGGCAGCACAUAUACUAAAAUUGGAAUGAUACAGAGAAGAUUAGCGUGGUCCCUGCACAAGGAUGACACACAAAUUCGUGAAGCGUUCCAUAUUUUU
rnacentral:snRNA from 1 species